GCUGCUGGUGCUGCUACUGCCAGGAGACUGUUAACACAGGCCUAGGGGUGGCGUGGGGGAGGGAGAGGGGAGCGGAAAAAAACUGAAAGCCUUUGUCAGUGAAAAACUCCCCAGUAAUUUAUCAUUGGAUGAUAAUUAGUAUAAAGAAAUAUUGAAGUCUGCGCCCUGUGAGGCUUAAUCGUUUUAUUAUAUAAUUAACGUCGUUUGGAGGGAAAAAAAAUUCAAACAGCUUAUUGCCAACGGCAAAUUUUGAUGCAUGAAGUUACAGCUCAUAAUAUUGAAAUAACGUACGUCUCUUCCUCUAUUUUGAAAAUAGGGAGCCAUCAUUUUGUAGCAUAAUUUUACUUUUAUCAUAUGCUUCUCCGCCACGUUCCGCUCCAUCCCGGACUGCCCCGCCCCAUCCCGGCCUGCCCCGCCCCAUCCCGACCGAAACCGGCCGCAGGAGAGAGCCACACUCUGGCCGUUGUUUUGGGGCCGCAGCCCUGGGCCUCACCCCGCCGCCCUUAAUGGUAAUCACACCGUCGCCUCUAAAUUCAGCUGGAAGUGAAUAGGUUUAAAAAUAAUCCUAAUACAAUUAUCCCAACAGUAGGGUCGGCAGAGGGGAGCAGCAGAGGCAGGGAGGAGUGCCGGGGAGACACAGUAACUUGAGACGAGCCACAGCAGACAGAGUGCUGAUGCCGGGUGACAGAGCGUGCAUUUGUACCGGCUCACCUUACACCUGGCCGGGUGGUGUGUGUCCUCAUCUCCAUAACGGGGACACGGGUGCAUUGGAAGGAGGAACAGUCAGUGUUCUGAACACACUGAACAGCAGAGGAAGCAGGUGUAGAAGUGGAAGGUUCCAGUGAUUCACGAGUCUCCGGAGCUCAAGAGGGAGAGAAAGCUGCCCCGCCCUGCAGGAAGAGAUGCAGGCCAGGUUCUGCCUUAGUUAUCCAUCGGUCAUCGCUCAAAAAUUGGCCUUUCGAGCAGGUAAUUCAGUAAUCUUCAGGGAGCACCGAGAGACUCACCGGCGAACAGAACAUGACUCAUACCUCAUGUCUGGCCUCCCGACCUCUCACCCUCUCCGUCAGCGUCCGUCACAGUGAGGCCACCACCAGAAUCGACUUGUAGCUGUCAAUCUUGCCGCAGGACAUCUGUGUGACUCAUGGCUGACCUCUUGAUGCUACAGCGACGAGUGACCGGUUCCAACAAAACACUGCGAAGGGCGAUGGAGCAGCGGGUCUGGAUUGCCUCGUCUGGCGGCGACAUGUCGCUAAAGGUCAGUAACUGGAAG